CAGUGCGCGGGCUGAGGAGCGGCUGCAGCCCUGCCUGGACUGCGCUGUCACCACCAUUCUCUGGGAACUCACCUGGCACCAUGACAUCACUUCCCUCUGGCUGGACCCUGCGGCUCCUGGGGACCCUGGUACUCGUGCUGCUGCCCGGGGGAGCUCUCAGUUAUUGUGUUGAUCCACCUGACAUUCCCAAUGCUUUUCGGAAGACUAAUGUUGGCACAUUGAUUCCAGCCGGGAUGGUGAUUAAAUAUGGCUGCCGCCAAGGUUAUGAGCUGAUUGCUGGACUAAGGCAAGGGCGUGUUACUUGUCUUCAAAAUUCGACAUGGUCUUCAGCUCCGAACUUUUGUCAGAAAGUUCGUUGUCCAGCUCCAGAUGUUAACAACGGAACACAGACACCGAUGCCUAGACCUGGAGAGGAGACCUAUGCGUUUGGGGACAGAGUUACAAUUGAAUGUGAUUUUGGGUAUGAUCUCAAAGGCAAUAUGAACGGAAAUGCUCAGAUUCGCUGCAAACAUGAUGGCACAUGGGAUCCUGCCA